ACGCUCGACACCUACGGGGGCAGCAGUGGGGAAUAUUGCACAAUGGGGGAAACCCUGAUGCAGCGACGCCGCGUGGAGGAAGAAGGUCUUCGGAUUGUAAACUCCUGUUGUUGGGGAAAAAGAGGAUGGUACCCAACAAGGAAGUGACGGCUAACUACGUGCCAGCAGUCGCGGUAAUCUGAGCGGGCUGGCAAGGC
rnacentral:rRNA from 1 species